GGUGGUUCAGUGGUAGAGUACUUGCCUUGCAUGCAUGAGGCCCUGAGUUCGAUUCCUCAGUACCA
rnacentral:tRNA from 1 species